UGAUACAGAGGGCCGGCCGCUGGCAACAUCGGUCCAAUCCUUAAAGUCAUCCUCAGUUCGGACUGGGGUCUGCAACCCGACCCCACGAAGCUGGAUUCGCUAGUAAUCGCGCAUCAGCCAUGGCGCGGUGAAUACGUUCCCGGGCCUUGUACACACCGCCCGUCAAGCCAUGAAAGCCGGGGGCGCCUGAAGUCCGUGACCGCGAGGGUCGGCCUAGGGUGAAACCGGUGAUUGGGGCUAAGUCGUAACAAGGUAUC
rnacentral:rRNA from 1 species